AAAUUGAAGAGUUUGAUCAUGGCUCAGAUUGAACGCUGGCGGCAGGCCUAACACAUGCAAGUCGAACGGUAACAGGAAGCAGCUUGCUUCUUUGCUGACGAGUGGCGGACGGGUGAGUAAUGUCUGGGAAACUGCCUGAUGGAGGGGGAUAACUACUGGAAACGGUAGCUAAUACCGCAUAACGUCGCAAGACCAAAGAGGGGGACCUUCGGGCCUCUUGCCAUCGGAUGUGCCCAGAUGGGAUUAGCUAGUAGGUGGGGUAACGGCUCACCUAGGCGACGAUCCCUAGCUGGUCUGAGAGGAUGACCAGCCACACUGGAACUGAGACACGGUCCAGACUCCUACGGGAGGCAGCAGUGGGGAAUAUUGCACAAUGGGCGCAAGCCUGAUGCAGCCAUGCCGCGUGUAUGAAGAAGGCCUUCGGGUUGUAAAGUACUUUCAGCGGGGAGGAAGGGAGUAAAGUUAAUACCUUUGCUCAUUGACGUUACCCGCAGAAGAAGCACCGGCUAACUCCGUGCCAGCAGCCGCGGUAAUACGGAGGGUGCAAGCGUUAAUCGGAAUUACUGGGCGUAAAGCGCACGCAGGCGGUUUGUUAAGUCAG
rnacentral:rRNA from 1 species